UGGGGAAUAUUGGGCAAUGGGCGCAAGCCUGACCCAGCAACGCCGCGUGAAGGAAGAAGGCUUUCGGGUUGUAAACUUCUUUUGUCAGGGACGAAGCAAGUGACGGUACCUGACGAAUAAGCCACGGCUAACUACGUGCCAGCAGCCGCGGUAAUACGUAGGUGGCAAGCGUUAUCCGGAUUUACUGGGUGUAAAGGGCGUGUAGGCGGGAAAGCAAGUCAGAUGUGAAAACUGUGGGCUCAACCCACAGCCUGCAUUUGAAACUGUUUUUCUUGAGUACUGGAGAGGCAGAUGGAAUUCCUAGUGUAGCGGUGAAAUGCGUAGAUAUUAGGAGGAACACCAGUGGCGAAGGCGAUCU
rnacentral:rRNA from 1 species